UACAGAGGUGGCAAGCGUUGUUCGGAAUUACUGGGCGUAAAGGGCGCGUAGGCGGCCUUCUAAGUCAGACGUGAAAUCCCCCGGCUUAACCUGGGAACUGCGUCUGAUACUGGAGGGCUUGAGUAUGGGAGAGGGAUGUAGAAUUCCAGGUGUAGCGGUGAAAUGCGUAGAUAUCUGGAGGAAUACCGGUGGCGAAGGCGGCAUCCUGGACCAUUACUGACGCUGAGGCGCGAAAGCUAGGGGAGCAAACAGG
rnacentral:rRNA from 1 species